rnacentral:rRNA from 1 species
GAUGAACGCUAGCGGAAGGCCUAAUACAUGCAAGUCGAACGGAUAUAUUUACUUCGGUGAAUAUGUUAGUGGCGCACGGGUGAGUAACGCGUACACAACCUACCUUACAUUGGGGGAUAGCCCUGGGAAACUGGGAGUAAUACCGCAUAAUAUUAUUUGAAGGCAUCUUUGGAUAAUUAAAGCUGAGGCGAUGUAAGAUGGGUGUGCGUCUGAUUAGGUAGUUGGUAGGGUAACGGCCUACCAAGGCGACGAUCGGUAGCCGGACUGAGAGGUCGGCCGGCCGCAUUGGGACUGAGACACGGCCCAGACUCCUACGGGAGGCAGCAGUGGGGAAUAUUGCGCAAUGGGGGAAACCCUGACGCAGCGACGCCGCGUGAAGGAAGAAGGCCUUCGGGUUGUAAACUUCUUUGAUCGGGGACGAAGGAAGACGGUACCCGAGGAACAAGCCACGGCUAACUACGUG